rnacentral:rRNA from 2 species
AGCAUAUCAAUAAGCGGAGGAAAAGAAACCAACAGGGAUUGCCCUAGUAACGGCGAGUGAAGCGGCAACAGCUCAAAUUUGAAAUCUGGCUUCGGCCCGAGUUGUAAUUUGUAGAGGAUGCUUUGGGCGCGGCUCCAACUGAGUUCCCUGGAACGGGACGCCACAGAGGGUGAGAGCCCCGUAUAGUUGGAUGCCUAGCCUAUGUAAAGCUCCUUCGACGAGUCGAGUAGUUUGGGAAUGCUGCUCAAAAUGGGAGGUAAAUUUCUUCUAAAGCUAAAUAUUGGCCAGAGACCGAUAGCGCACAAGUAGAGUGAUCGAAAGAUGAAAAGCACUUUGAAAAGAGGGUUAAAUAGCACGUGAAAUUGUUGAAAGGGAAGCGCUUGUGACCAGACUUGCGCCGGGCGGAUCAUCCGGUGUUCUCACCGGUGCACUCCGCCCGGCUCAGGCCAGCAUCGGUUCUCGUGGGGGGAUAAAGGCCUCGGGAACGUAGCUCCUCCGGGAGUGUUAUAGCCCGGGGCGUAAUGCCCUCGCGGGGACCGAGGUUCGCGCAUCUGCAAGGAUGCUGGCGUAAUGGUCAUCAGCGACCCGUCUUGAAACACGGACCAAGGAGUCAAGGUUUUGCGCGAGUGUUUGGGUGUUAAACCCGCACGCGUAAUGAAAGUGAACGUAGGUGAGAGCUUCGGCGCAUCAUCGACCGAUCCUGAUGUAUUCGGAUGGAUUUGAGUAAGAGCGUUAAGCCUUGGACCCGAAAGAUGGUGAACUAUGCUUGGAUAGGGUGAAGCCAGAGGAAACUCUGGUGGAGGCUCGCAGCGGUUCUGACGUGCAAAUCGAUCGUCAAAUCUGAGCAUGGGGGCGAAAGACUAAUCGAACCAUCUAGUAGCUGGUUACCGC